rnacentral:lncRNA from 1 species
GGGGGGCGGUGGGUGGGGGGGGGGGGGGGGGAACUAAGUCUGAGGAAGGCUGCAUUGUCCCUUUACCUCUCAGACGGUGUCACCCAAAGCUCUGAGGACUUCUACAGAAACCUUGUCCUGUCUGGAACUUGGCAUUGCACAUGUAACUCACUCUCCCUCCUUCAGUAGUUCUGACCAGCAGCCGCACUGGAGGAGGUGGGGGCAGAGAGGAAGACGACGACGAGGGAGAGGGAGAAGAGGAGAGAAGAGCAAGUUCCCGUCGGGGCGCCCGGGAAACGAACCUGACUAGGAACCAUGAGGUUGUGGGUUCGAUCCCUGGCCUCGCUCGGUGGGUUAAGGAUCCGGCGUUGCCGUGAGCUGUGGUGGAGGUCGCAGACAUGGCUUGGAUCUGGCGUUGCUGUGGUUCUGGUGUAGGCUGGCAGCUGUAGCUCCUAUUAGAUCUCUAG